rnacentral:lncRNA from 1 species
CUUAGUACACAUGUUCCCUAUGAUAUGAUCUUUCUAAUUUUAAUGCCAAAUUAGAGUUUUGACCCCAAUUUCACGGUCCACUGAACAUAGAAAAUAAUGCGAGUGGGUCAUUAGUGUACUAUGGACACAUUCUUGUUCUCUAUGUUAUAGCAUCAUGAAAGGUAAAAAGAGGUAAACAAUUGUCUUUCAAAAUUUCAUAAGUUUGAAAAACUUUAAUUGAUAGUUUCAUCUAUGUUGAUUUAGAUGUAGAUCUUAUUGUUCUGGCC